CAGAUCCAGAAAUAGCAUCUGCUACUCCAGGGAAGAAAACUAGCUUGCUUUCAUAGUCACUGGGAGGCCCAUAAAUCUACUCCCAAAAAAAAAGAGUUUUUAAGAAAAUAAUAACAAUAAAGAAUUACCAGUACAAUGAAUCAGCUCCAAUGAGUAAAAGGAAAAGGAAAUCACUUACAAGAUGCUUAAACCACUGCCUUCCUUCAAGCCCCUCUGAAUCCAAGAACCCUCUUUCAGCAAGCAUCAGCCGAUCAUUCAAUGCUCGCUUUUGCAACACUACAGAAUCAUCACUUGAUUCUUGCUCUCUCAGUAUCUGCUCUUCAAAACAAGAAAUGCCUUACAAUUUAGUUUCUUCUUUUCUUUAAAUACAGGCAGGAAACAAAAAGUAAAAAAAUAAAAAUCAGAAAACCAAGCAAGAGGGAGAUUUUGCAUAGGAGAUUUAUAGUUAGUUUCACCCCAGUAUUUCAAAUGCCCAAAAAAGAUUAUUGGUUUACCUUUGCCUCAGCCUGAGCUGCUUUUGCUGCAAAGGUAAGUUCUUCAAUUGAUGCUACCAAAGGAUGAAUAGAUACACUACCAUCCAACAGGUUGCGCAAGACAUCUGUAUACUCCUGCCCAUAAAAAGAAAUUACAAGUUCAAUAUUUACUCCGUACAAAUAAAUAAAGACAUUUCUAAAGUUC